rnacentral:snRNA from 13 species
GUCUUUGUGCAUUGGCAGUAUCUUAGCCAAUGAGGUUUAUCCGAGGCGAGAUUAUUGCUAAUUGGAAUUACAGAAAUCUCCCUCCUUUGGCAGCUCAUUCCAUUUCCCCAAGAGUGUCUCCUUUCUAACCAUUCAUUUUAUAGUUCUCCCAGUGUUUUUAUUGGUGAUAAUUCUACACUAUCACCAAAUGAUGUUUUUUUGUUAAACAACCAAAAAUGU